rnacentral:tRNA from 2 species
GGGCGAUUAGCUCAGUUGGUAGAGCAGCUGACUCUUAAUCAGCAGGUCGAAGGUUCGAGCCCUUCAUCGCUCA